rnacentral:rRNA from 1 species
AACACAUGCAAGUCGAGGGGCAGCGGGAGUGCUUGCACUCGCCGGCGACCGGCGCACGGGUGCGGAACGCGUAUGGAAUCUACCUCUUUCUGGGGAAUAGCCCAUGGAAACGUGGAUUAAUACCCCAUAGUAUGCAGAGAUCGCAUGAUCUCUGUCUUAAAGCUUUGGCGGAAAGAGAUGACCAUGCGUAUCAUUAGCUAGUAGGUGAGGUAACGGCUCACCUAGGCAACGAUGAUUAGGGGUCCUGAGAGGGAGAUCCCCCACACUGGUACUGAGACACGGACCAGACUCCUACGGGAGGCAGCAGUGAGGAAUAUUGGACAAUGGUCGAAAGACUGAUCCAGCCAUGCCGCGUGCAGGAUGAAUGCCCUAUGGGUUGUAAACUGCUUUUAUACGGGAAGAACACCACCCACGUGUGGGUGACUGACGGUACCGUAAGAAUAAGGACCGGCUAACUCCGUGCCAGCAGCCGCGGUAAUACGGAGGGUCCAAGCGUUAUCCGGAAUCAUUGGGUUUAAAGGGUCCGUAGGCGGGCUAUUAAGUCAGAGGUGAAAGUUUGCAGCUCAACUGUAAAAUUGCCUUUGAUACUGGUAGUCUUGAGUUAUAGUGAAGUGGUUAGAAUAUGUGGUGUAGCGGUGAAAUGCAUAGAUAUCACAUAGAAUACCAAUUGCGAAGGCAGAUCACUAACUAUAUACUGACGCUGAUGGACGAAAGCGUGGGGAGCGAACGGGAUUAGAUACCCCGGUAGUCCACGCCGUAAACGAUGGAUACUAGCUGUUGGAUUUUUUCAGUGGCUAAGCGAAAGUGAUAAGUAUCCCACCUGGGGGAGUACGUUCGCAGAUGAAACUCAAGGAUUGACGGGGGCCCGCACAGCGUGAGCAUGUGUUUAUCGAUGAUACGCGAAGACCUACAGGCUAAAUGGAAAUGACAGGGCAGAGACGCCCCUCCUCCGACAUUUUCAGUGCUGCAUGUGUCGUCG